rnacentral:sRNA from 1 species
AGAGAGAAAAAGUAAAAGACCGAAGAAGGAGGCUGGAGAGACCAGGAUCCUUCCAGCUGAAUAAAGUCAGCCACAAAGCAGACUAGCCAGCCGGCUACAAUUGGAGUCAGAGUCCCAAAGACAUGGCCUUGAAAGCCAUCCCCUGGGUAGAGGUCUUUGUCUUGAAAGAAAGCAACAGUAGAAAUGCCUUCCCUGCCCAUAGCACUUCAGGUCUAAAGAAGACCAAGUGAGGACAGUGACAUGAUCAGGAAGGGUCACAGCAGCCAUGGCUUGUUAGAGUGCUGUGCAAGAUGUCUGGUAGGGGCCCCCUUUGCUUCCCUGGUGGCCACUGGAUUGUGUUUCUUUGGGGUGGCACUGUUCUGUGGCUGUGGACAUGAAGCCCUCACUGGCACAGAAAAGCUAAUUGAGACCUAUUUCUCCAAAAACUACCAGGACUAUGAGUAUCUCAUCAAUGUGAUCCAUGCCUUCCAGUAUGUCAUCUAUGGAACUGCCUCUUUCUUCUUCCUUUAUGGGGCCCUCCUGCUGGCUGAGGGCUUCUACACCACCGGCGCAGUCAGGCAGAUCUUUGGCGACU